ensembl:snoRNA
UCUGCAGUGAUGAUUGAGACAGUGACUUUCGUUCUUCUGAGUUCAACUGAAGCCAAUAUUUCUGUCCUGAGAAGA